rnacentral:rRNA from 1 species
AAAUUGAAGAGUUUGAUCAUGGCUCAGAUUGAACGCUGGCGGCAGGCCUAACACAUGCAAGUCGAACGGUAACAGGAAGCAGCUUGCUGCUUCGCUGACGAGUGGCGGACGGGUGAGUAAUGUCUGGGAAACUGCCUGAUGGAGGGGGAUAACUACUGGAAACGGUGGCUAAUACCGCAUAACGUCGCAAGACCAAAGAGGGGGACCUUCGGGCCUCUUGCCAUCAGAUGUGCCCAGAUGGGAUUAGCUUGUUGGUGAGGUAACGGCUCACCAAGGCGACGAUCCCUAGCUGGUCUGAGAGGAUGACCAGCCACACUGGAACUGAGACACGGUCCAGACUCCUACGGGAGGCAGCAGUGGGGAAUAUUGCACAAUGGGCGCAAGCCUGAUGCAGCCAUGCCGUGUGUAUGAAGAAGGCCUUCGGGUUGUAAAGUACUUUCAGC